UAAAACUAAAAUGGAGGCAAGUGCAAGGAAGAGGAAAGGGAGACCAGCCUGAAGCAACUAAAGAGUUUGAGGGAAGGAAAGAAGCAAAAAACAGGGGGAGGCAAAAAAACGGGGGGGGGGAGAGCUUUGAAGGACUCACUGCAAUUUUUAAAAAGUCUACUCAGAAGUAAGUCCCAUUGAGUUCAGUGCUUCUGUGUGCUGGCAGUGAUUGAGUUUGAGGAAAGGAAGGAGAAAAAAAUGGGGGAGAGGGAAAGCUUUGGAGAAUUCACAUUUGAAUUUUAAAAAGGUCUACUCAGAAGUAAAUCCCACUGAGUUCAGUGGGGCUUACUCCCAGGUGAGGCUGUCAAUGUGCUGAACCGGUGUCUGGCUGCGACAAUGGACUGGAUGAGGGCUAAUAAACUGAGGCGCAAUCCAGACAAGACUGAGAUGCUGCUAGUGGGUGGUUCUUCUGACCAGAUGGUGGAUGUCCAACCUGUCCUGGAUGGGGUUGCACUCCCCCUGAAGGAGCAGGCAUACAAGAUUUUAAGCACCAAUGAACAUCCAGGCAGUGAAGUAUGAGAGUUCAUCCACAUGACCGCUUGAGCUCAUAAAAUAGAUUUGAGUUUGGAUGAACCUGGGUCUAGGCCUCCCCAUUGUACUGCCACAAUUAAA